UGGUUCUAUGACUCUCAUUUCCCCAGACA
rnacentral:piRNA from 1 species